rnacentral:rRNA from 1 species
UACGGGGGGGAGCAAGCGUUGUUCGGAUUUACUGGGCGUAAAGGGCGCGUAGGCGGCCACCGCAAGUCGACUGUGAAAUCUCCGGGCUUAACUCGGAAAGGUCAGCCGAUACUGCGGGGCUAGAGUGCAGAAGGGGCAACUGGAAUUCUCGGUGUAGCGGUGAAAUGCGUAGAUAUCGAGAGGAACACCUGCGGCGAAGGCGGGUUGCUGGGCUGACACUGACGCUGAUUGUGCGAAAGCUAGGGGAGCGAACGGGG